rnacentral:misc_RNA from 1 species
CGUUACUGGAACUUUAAGCAGUUUUUAUCACGCGGGAACAAGCACCUCAGUUUCCGUUGCAUUAAGUUUAUGUGACCAUGGCGAAAUUCAGGUUCCCAGGCAAAGCUCUUAAGUUAAACACAAGAAAGCGGGUGCGAUAUCGAGGAAGUUACACAGCCAACACACCCGAGGAGCUAUACACACGCAGAAUACGAAGAGGCCUGGACCUGUUUACCCAAAUAUUCGGCGAGUCGGAUGAGGAUGAAGAUGGCUUUGAGGGUUUUUCGUCAAGUUGCCCAGAGGGACAGGAUGUCAAAAUUACAAGAGCAGCAACACCUGAACUUUCUGUGCACAGAGGGGGAAAGAGGAUGGCACAGAAAGUGGAUCAGGCUUGUGUAGUUUUGGAGAGUGAGGGUUUAGUGACUCGAAGAAGAACAAACAUUGUAGAAAUGGCAGUGAAAGAAUUGAGAGCGAGUGCAGAAAAAACGAGAGAUUUAUCUUUAAGUGGAGGAAGAACAGACAAAGCGGUGGGGUUUGUGGAACCUGUGAGUGAUAGUAAAGCAGUAGAUGCAGCCCCACCACCAUCCUCAUCAUUAGAAAGUGAUCAGCAUAUAGAGGGAACAAAGACUAUAGUGGCUUCACUCACAAGCCACGUGGCUCGAAAACAGACCAAUCAUAGAAUAAGUAGACCGCCAACUGUAAAAACUGCUUUAGCAAAGAAAUUAUUAGCAAAGGCAAAGAAAAAAAUGCCGUCUCUUCCAGCGAUUGGAGAGAAAAGUCCGAAACGGUUCAUUCUACCGACUAUGAGUGUGAGAUCAUCCAGAAUUAUAAAACCCAACAAAAGGUUGUUUGCAGACAUCACAGACAUCUGUUCCACUAGUAGUUCACUCUUGACUGAUGUUAGUACUGAACCAAGAGAGGAUACCAUAAAUGUUCCAAGUAAAAGACUUGUUAAACUGACUCGCAAAGGUCGUGGUUCUCAUACACAGUUCCUGUCUCUACCUCGCUCACGUGCACAGGGCAAGAACUCUUUAUCUGGGACAGAAGGUGUGGGGCGUGAUCGUAUGCGACGAACUAUUUCCCUUUAUACUGCGUCCAUAACGGGUCCUAGCAAAGGGCAGGUUGGGAGACCUCCCAAGCGCUUGUUGCGUCGCUAUGAAGCCCCUAUGCAAGAGAUUGAGGCAGAGGUUCCCGAUUCUCCACAGCGAUGUGAUCCUAAAGAGUCGAGAGUUAAAGAAAAAAUUGAAAAAUUGCUUCGUUCCCCAUGGGAUGACAGAUUAAAGCAAUCUGGGAAGGGAGGGAAGGCUGAAAAUGAUGAAUUGAUGCCUGCUCCUGCCACCAGCACCUCUCCAGCACUCUCUGCAUCUGUUAUCUCACGCAACAUCCUUCGGAAAGCACGCCUCAACCUGAACAAAUCAACCCUUCAGAAAAUCCGCGACCCAGCAUCUCUCCAGAGACUCAUUCCAAUGUGUGAUGGGAGUGUAGAGGGAAAGUGUGCCAUCUGUGACUUAACAGGAGGAAAUACGCGAAUGUUUGGAAUUGUAUUUUGUGAAGUCUGCAGCAGUUUUCUUCAUAGUGCUAGUGAUGGUCCAAGAGAGAUUUUUGAUUGCCUGGGCAACAAAGGCAAUUGCCAGUUCCAGGGCUUAGUGGAAGAAGAUCGUUGUCCAGCUUGUUGGUUGUCCAGAAUACUACUUUCAUGUUCAAUGCCUCACCUUCUUCAUGAUCGUCUUCGCAAACGUUUACCAACCAUGUUGAAAGAACACAUACCAACUAGUUUAGCACGGUGUAUGAACGUUGGUGGACUACCAGCUAUCCUGGAGAAGGAUGCAGAACUAACAAGUCACACAAAACGAUUACCUUUAGAUCCAGGAGGGGGUGGGGCAUUUGGAUCUGUAAUGGACCUGCCAGGUGGUUGGCGGCGAAAAACCGGACCAGAAGUAAUUGUUAUCAGUCCAAGCGGAGAAAAAUUCAAGAGUGUGCAAAAACUGGAAGAGUUUCUAAUAAAACAAGGCAUUAGCACUGAUGCUCGUGUGCUUUUUGGUAAUAACAGUCCUGCAGUUGGUCGAAGCACUGAAGUAAAGUCUCGAUCGUUGGUUCAGAGUAAUAGCAGUGCAAGAGGGAAAGUGGUAAUGACGACUCUACCAGGUGGAUGGACACGUAGAAUUAAGUGGCGAUCAGCUGGUGAUCGUUUUGAUACUUAUGUAAAUAGCCCAGAUGGAAGGACUUUUCGGUCAAGGAGAGAGCUAAGUGCAUAUUUUCAGCUUAUUGGAAAAGUUGAUGACAUCCAUAAGUAUUUUCCUGUAGUAACUGGACAUUCAGAUGCUUCACUACCCAGUUCCAGUGAUACCCCAGGAUCAUCCAGCACUGAACCUGUGUCAAGCUCAGAGCCAUGCUCAGAAAUGAGUUCAGAUGAUAAAUCUCCAGAAGCUUCAGAAUGUGAAACAGAUGUACCAAAAUCCAAAAAUAAAAUGUCUGGUUCCAGCAAUGAAAAAAUGCUCAGAUUUUCUCAUGUUAAACAACUGAAGGGUAAAAAUUAUAAAGAACCAGGGCGACCUAGAAGCAAAUCAGUGACUAAAUUAAAGACUACAGACAACAGUGGAGAAGAACCUGCAGGUCAGGUGAGCUCAACUGAUGUUUCAAAUGAAGGUAACAGUUUGGAGCGAAAACAUAAAAAAGCAAAAAUGAUCAUGAGAACUAGAUCUUUGUCUCUUGGCAGAAUGAAACACAAAGGUGACACAAGUCUAACGGAUACAACAGAGAGUGAAUCGGAGCAAAGAAAGUCCGGAGUGAGUAUGAUGUUUCCUAAAACAUUCUCAAGAAGCAGAUCAAAGGGCAAGCCCAAGUCUAUAGUUUGCUUAUCUUUAGGUGAAAACAAGUCAACACCCUUUACAGAUAUCCCUGUUGAAAGCAUGAAAGAAUUAAGUGAUACAGUUGCUCCCGUAGAAAGUACAGAUACAGUGAAAACAUCUCUGGAAAAAAAACCCACUGUAUCCAUAGAGGAGGAUCCUCCGUCUACUACACCAAUUAUUGAAACAAGUGAGAAAAAACCUGAUCAUAAAAUAGUUUUGAAAAUACCCAAAAAAGCAAUUCUGCCUGUAGGAAAAAGACACAAGCGUAGGCAUAAAGUUGUUGAAAGUGACAAGUCACUUGUGACUGUUAAUGACAAACAGGGUCCAGAGCUAAAAAGAAUGCAAGAGGAAACGCUGCAAGAGACCAAUCAACCGGUGCUUGCACAAAUACACAGCACAAAUAAAUCAUUAGAUGAUGCUCAGGGUAAACUGUUCAAUCUUGAACAAGUGGAGGAUCCACUGGGUGAUGAGUCCGAGGCAUUAGGGGGGUGUGAUGUGUCCAUUGAUUCCAAGGUGUCAUCACCUAAUGCUUCUGAGGAGGAGGUGGUGCCUGAUGCUUUAUUAGUACCUGAAAUCAAAUUCAAAUCCAAAAAACUUUCCACAUACCAGACAUGCCAUUUUGGAAAAGGAUGGUCUAGAAAAAUUCGGUGGAAUGAAAAAGGAGAAGGAAAAGUGGCUCUCUUACACAGUCCAGAUAGUCAAACAUUUAGAUCUCGAAUAGAAUUGCUUGCUUAUUUCAAGAAGGCUGGCAGAUCAAAAGUUGACCUUGAUUUUUACUUUCCACCAGUUCUUAAGAGAGAACAGACUAGUUUGUCUUUAGAAACUAAUAAAGUUGGUAAGUUCCCUACUACUGAGACAUCAAUAGCAGUGGUCACUUCAACCUCAGCUCAUUCUUCAGAGAUUAGUGAAUUUUCAGACAGUGAAACGCUUGUUAAAACAUCUGAAGAUUCUUGUGUGUCUGGUGAGGAAUCAAAGAGGCCAAAAGUAACCAGAGUGAUAAAGUGUUAUCGGAAAAGUGGAGCCCAGUCUGGACUGAAGAGCAUUUCGGAGAAUGUUACUGAAGAAAUUAUUACUUUUUCAAGUCCAUCAGUCAAGCUCUCUAGUUCAAUUCAACCCCUUUCUGAGGAGUCUAGAAAACACAUGGUUCAGCCUGGCAAGAGUGGAAGGAAGGUUAUUGUUGUGUCUACUCAAGAGGGAAAAUCAUCUCUGAAAUCUGAACCUGAAGAAGAAGGAAUCAUCGGUGAAGCUGGUGGACCCAGAGUCAAGCAUGUGUGUCGAAGUCAGGCUCAGGUUUUAGGAAUUCCCCGUGCUGUUUUUCCAUCUCCAAGGAAGGAAGAGGAACGGUUAAUAAACCCUGUCAUUGUUCCUGUCAUGAAAGGAAAGCAGAAACGUAAAAUUGUUACAGUGACCACGACAGCCAGUGGCAAGGUACUGCGGAAGACUCAGUGGUGCAAUAAAUGUCCAGGGUGUACUACUCCUAAUUGCCUUAAGUGUUCCAACUGUUUGGACAUGAAGAAAUAUGGGGGCCCUGGUACUAAGAAAAAACCCUGCAUCAUGAGAAAGUGCCACAAUCCAAGGCUGUCGGCAAAAUCAGCCAUUAGUCAGGAGAGUACUUCAAAAGUGCCACUUCAGAUCCCCUCGGCAGCACUGUCAUCUCCAACCAUGGUCAAAGAGGCACGCAAGGGUCCUGUCAUAAAUAUAAAAGUGCUAGAGGAAAAAACUGAAGUACCUGUUGUGACAAGUGACAGUGUGUCAAAAUUAUUGCAGCAGGAGAAAGGCGUGUUUGUUCCAAGGCAAAUGACACGUACUCUGCCUGACCAAAAGGACCGAGGGGACAUUGCAGCGGGUAAAAAAUUUGUUCCCGGCGCACUGGUUAACAUUGACUACUGGCAGGGUUAUGAUGCAGACGAGAUGAUGCUCACCGGCUACCCUGUGACAACAGCAGCCCCUCUACACCCUCAAGUUCUAUGUUUCCGCUGUGGCUCUGUUGGAAAAGAGCAGCUGCUGUACUGUGCAUGGUGCUGUGAGGGCAUCCAUCCUUAUUGCUUGGAGGAUGGUGAAGGUCCUGAGUCCGAGACAGAAGAAAUGUUUUGGAUAUGCCGACGGUGUGCUGUGUGUCAAGUUUGUGGUGCCCCCGGAGCAGACACUCUCCUCAGGUGUUCAGAUUGUCGUAACUACUACCACUUGGAGUGCCUUGGACCAUCAGCACACAACACUUGCCAACCUACACCAGACCGUCCAUGGAAAUGUGUGACUUGUACACGUUGCACUAGUUGUGGCAGUCCCAAUGUGGCUCAGUGGUAUAAAGUUCCAUGCAGAAGAAAACCACUGCAUGUGACGUUGGUGGAAUCGUCGCCUACUAUGGACUUAGCGUUAUGCUUGCGGUGUGUUACUCUCAGGGAAAGGGGCAACUACUGUCCUUUGUGUAAUGGCUGCUAUGAAGAUGAUGAUUAUGAUGCAAAGAUGAUGGAAUGUGGUCGAUGUGGAGAAUGGAUUCAUGCUCACUGUGAAGGGCUCAACAAUGAACGCUACCAAAUUCUUAGUUUCUUGCCUGACACAGUGGAGUAUGUUUGUCGGAACUGUGUGCUGGAUGCUUCAACUAGUUGGUUGGAUGCAGUGGGGAGGGAGUUGUUAGCAGGAUGUGAGGCAGUCCUACAAGCUCUUUUUAGUAGCAGGUGUGCAAAGCAUUUAGUGAAGAGAGAAACUUCAAUAAAACUGUCUUCCUCAGGAGGUCUAACCCCUGUUCCUUUACCUGCAAUUGGAACCCCUUCAUUGGAAAGAAAUGAGGAGGAUCCUUUGGAAAAAAUGGAGGAUGGUGAUUGCCUGGUUCAUGUUGGCCACGCCAGCACUGUGGUGUCGGUGGAACCUCACGGUGCAGCAGCUUCUGAGGGUUAUCCUUCUGGGGAACUCUUUCACUCAGGAAAAAGUGGUAUUCAGUGCAGUGAGACGGGUGCUAAGCAUCCUUCAUCAGAAACUGGUGUUGUCAUGGAGUCUAGUGUUGUUCAGGUGAAGAAUUUAGUUGUUAAUGCGGAUGUUGAAUCAUCUCGGACCUCAUGUAAAUCUGCUAAGGGUGUAUCGGAGAGAUGCAAAAACUUUGACUCAUCUUUAUGUUCUGUGAAUAUAGAUGUUAAAGACAGACCUCAGGAUGAAACUGUUGUAAGAAAUCCAACUGCUAAGCAGAAGCUUUGUCCAGAUAACAGUAAUUCUGAGAAAGUGGCAGCUAAUGGUAAUUCAGGUAAAGGUGGUUGUAUAAUAGGUGCAAAAGACAAAACUGAUCUCAAAGGAAAAUUUGGUAAAGUCAAGUCUGAGGAAGAGAUUCAGUCAUUUCCUCGACGGCAGACCCGCUCCUCUUUGGCAGGUGCAGCACAUGCCUCAAUUGCUGCCUCAAGUAGUGCUUCCAAUGACCCCAUAAAAUUAAAGGAAUGCUCCGUGCGCUUAGAAGAUAUUUGCAAGUCGAAAACACCUUCAACGUCUCCAAUCAAAACUCAAGGUGAACAAGAUGCUACACUAAAAGCAGAAAUUGAAACAUGUAAACAAACAGAAUCCGUAAAAUCUCAGGGAGUAGAAGCUAGUACAAAGUUGCCAUGUAACAGAACACUAAUGUGUUUGGAAUCUCUGGAAGAGAAGGAAUUGGAGGGAGUAACGAGAGAAGCCUUGCAAAGCAUAAUUACUUUAAAAGAUACAGAUGUCUCGUGCACACAAGUAGAUGGCCCGAAUGAUGAAACAACAGUAACAGCCAGAGUAAUAAGAAAUCUUUUCUUUGAAGACAGGAAUCAGAUGGUGCUGGAUGCCACCAGCUUGCUUGAAAGUAAAACAGAAAAUCAUGAAGAGAAAAACCUUGCUCAAGUAGAGGCUCAAUUGAUAAGCCCUAAAGACAAAAUAACAAAAGAUAUUGAUGAUGAUUGUGUCAGUAGUGAGGAAAGCUCCUUUUGUGAUACAGACACAGAGAUUGAGAGUAUCCAGGAUGAUCCAGAAGAACCAAGAGAUCUGCUGUCUGUAAAGGAGAAGCUGAAAGACCGGAAAUAUGAAUCUGUUUUGCAAUUUCAUGUUGACAUGGCAAGGGUAAUAGAAAAUGGUAGACAUCUUAAUCGCAGUCAGACACGCAAUGUUCAGGCAACUUACGCAAAGCACAUGAAAGAGUAUUUUCCUUGGUUUGAUGCGAAAACAACAAAUGUGUUUGAGUUGGUAGAUAAACAAAGACCAUUCCCAAUACCACAUUUGGAUCAUAAUUAUAUAUUUCGUACCAUGGUUUCAGGCAAUCGUCACUUCACCAUGCGUGAUGCUCCAGUAUUUAGAAAACGGUCUACAAGCCCACUGAAAGCUACUAUUCUGUCUCAUCCUGAUCGGCGAAAAUGUGUUCUGUGUGGGAGAGAAAGUGAUGAUGAUCCUAAUGCUGCAGGAAGACUACUUUACCUUGGACAGGAUGAAUGGCUUCAUGUAAACUGUGGACUCUGGUCAUCAGAAGUGUAUGAGGAGGUGGACGGAGGUUUACAGAAUGUGUACUUAGCAGUGAGUCGUGGUCGCUUGAUUAAGUGUUCCGCUUGCCUUGAGCGAGGAGCAACGGUGGGUUGCUGCCAUAAAACUUGCCAGGCAACAUACCACUUUCUAUGUGCAAGACGAAGCUGUUGCCAAUUUAUGGAGGAUAAGCGGAUAUUUUGCCCACAGCAUGAGAGUACUUUGAAUGGGGAAGAGAAAUCUGAUGAUUUUAAAGUUAGUAGAUGUGUUUAUGUCGACAUGGACUCUGAGAAGAAGAAGUGGAAACAAGUUCCUGGUAAUCGUGUAAGCAUUGCUAUAGGUUCCCUUACUAUAAAGAAUCUUGGGAGAAUCAUCCCAGAAUCUGAUAGUGCUGAAGCCCUAAUUCCUAUGGAUUUUACUUGUAGUCGUGUGUACUGGAGUACCUUAGACCCUACACGAAGAGUUACCUACACCUGCCGGACUAAGAGAGUAGUACCAACACUUGACGAUGCAUCACUUAUGGGAAAUAUAGCUUUUCAUAAAACAAUUGAUCAUUCACUUGGGGAGGAAACUGUUCAUAAAGAGAUGACAGCUGUCAAGAAGUGGUUUAAACAACUUGAGGAGCGAAAAGUAGAAAAGAAGUCCCGUGAAACCAACAUUAUUCCUCCCCAUCUCUGUCCUCUCUAUCGUAGCAUCAAAGAAAGGGAAGAAGAAAUUAAAACUACCGAGACAGUUAUCCGUUGUCGAACUCCGCCAGCAAUUGUUGAAUUAGAUGUUCGGCAGUGUAUUGACGAUAUAAUUGACAAAGUUAGUCGAUCUGUGGAAGAAGAGAGUUUACUUUUAGACACAGACUUGCCUGCUAUUGUUAGUGCUGAUGACAAUGAAUUGAUAUCAAUGGUGCUGAAUGACCUUGAUGCAUGUGACCCCAUCACUUUACAGUCUACUCCCUCAACCUCAGGCAGACCAAGCCCACUCGAUAUUGACUUCCUGAGCACCUGCGAUCAUAUGAUGGACUCAGGGAAAGUGACUCACUCAGGAAACAUGACUCGGGAGACUCAGGAAACAGAAUGCGACCCACAAGUGAUGUUGGGCACCACUCUCUCAACUGGUUGCGACUCUAUCCAUGACACAUACCAGGUGGAAUCCCCAAAUAUUGAUGUUAAAGAACCCAUAAUUGAGACAAUAUCACCUCCAACUACUCAAGAUCUUGGUCCUGUGCCUUCAAUAUUAUUGCCUACUGCCAGUAUUAAUAAUACUCAAAGUUUAUCUGCAAAUGGCAGCAACAGUAAUGUCAUUAAUUCAGGUAAUAGCUGCAACAAUUGUUGCAGUGAGAGCAAGAGUGAGAGCACCAGCAGCAGCAGCAGCAGCAACAGUAGCAGCAGCAGCAUCAGUAGUAGUAGUAGUAGUAGUAGUAGCAGUAGCAGUGAAAGUUCUAGUAGCAGUAACAUGGCCAGAGAAAGUAGUAGCCCAGAAAGAUGUUCUGAAGGUACUGUGAGUAACACUAGCAGCCCAGACACAAGCUCCAGAACAAGCUCUGACAAUGUCAGUAAUGAUAUACACACUGGCAGUACAGAUAGCAACAGUGGCAGUGAAACUUCAUCUCAGGGUGCUGGUUGUGGUGCUAAAGCUCCAUGCACAUCUUCAGGAAAAACUAGUUCCUCUUUGAAGCAAAUUUGCAGAGUUUUACCCAUGCCCUCUACAAAUAGCAGGCGUUCCUCAUCAGCUAGUGAGCACAGUGAUUCAGUUGGACAGACGGGAUUAAACCAGUCUUCUGUAACUUCUCGACAGUCGCCACGAAAUUCAGAUGAAAAUGAAGCAAGUAAUACCAGUGGAAGAGGAAAUGAACGCAAGAAGAUCUGUAUGAAGAGAAACUAUAAGACUGUUAUUAAGAAAUAUCCUCUCAGAAGUGGCAUGAGAAAAAGCAAGCCGUAUGAAACUGUACAAAUUGAGAUAAAUGAAACUAUAGAAAUUCCAGGUGGAGAAGGAUCUGGUAUGGUGCAUAAAAGUUUGAAAAGAAAAUGGAGUGGGAUUUUGGAUUCAGAAGAGGACGAUCAUUGUCAGAAGGACUCAAAUUGUGGUCAAGAGGGGCAAGGUAAUUCCACACACGGGAGUGAUGCAGAGAAUUCAAAAGAAAAUUCUGUAUCCAAGAAAGUUUUAAAAUUUACAGAUGACAACAAUGACAUUACAGUCAGUAUUGUCAACAAUAACAACAACCUCUGUGAAUUUUCAAAGUCACGGGGCCACAGAUACCGCCAUAAGACUGUCUUGCAAUUGGAUGGUGCAGCUGAUGGCUCUUCAUCUAGUGCUGAGAUGAGCGAGAGUCAGGAUGAGGGAAUUGAGGAUAGGCAAAGGUUUCGAAAUCGGGAGGAUCCUCAAACGCCACCUCUUCACUCAGCAUUAGCUAUGCGUAUCAAGGAGCAAAGUCUGGCCAGAAGUUCACCAGGAGAGGAAGGACCUUACAAGUGUGCCAAAUGCAAGAGACUCUAUAGGACAAAGGAGAGCUACGAGAAGCACAUUGAAACCUGUACUUUUGAAGUUGAUAGUUCAAGUACGUCAGAAGAUGAUGACGACUAUGAAGACAUCCAUUCUGAAGAGGAAGAUAUAGACGAGCAUUCUCAGCCAAACAGUAGUAAAACAGGCCAAGUAAAUCUAGAUUCGUCUAUAAUGUCAUCUGUGGAAUCCUCAGCAGAGCUGCCACUAGUGGCUGCAUCUGAAAUUCCUUCUAUGCACAUCUUGACACGAGAAUCUGUAGCAAGUCAUAAAAUAUCUGUGGGUGAAACUCUAGCAAGCAAUGUAGAAGAACAGUGUGUGUCUGAAGACCCUGCUUACCAAGUUCAUGAGUCUAAAGCUGUAAUGUCGGUAGAUUUCAUGGGUAAUAUAAAAUCUGGAGGGGAAGAACCUGCAAUAAAAAAGCAAAGAUUAGAUGCAGCAUUACCACGUCAACCAGGUGUUCAUAGGCAGGUAAGAACAGCUAUCAAAAAGUGUCCAAGUAGUCAUGAGGAUGUGGAACUUUUACAUGUAGUGCGUGGCCCUCCACCACCAGGCACUGAUGUGUUUGUGCCUCCUCCAGUAUCUCCUGUAAAAUUUAGCCCCAUCGUUAAGAAAAGUGCUAGCCCAAGGCGUUAUACAAAUAUUCGGCUGAUGCGAGGUAGUCGCGGAUACCAGUAUCGCCGGGCUGCUCCACACAUGCCAGUUCAAGAACAUUACCAAGGAGCAAAUUCUGGUAUGCCAAUGGCACCCCCUGCUAAUCCAACUCCAAUCCAAGUUACCAUGCAUACUAUGGCUAGCACUUCUGGGCAGAUACUAACCCAGGGAGCACCAGCUACCUUUCAACAAUUUGGUGGCCAGUCAACACCAUAUCCAACUGCUGCUCAGUUGACCUCUCCAGUUAGUCACUUGAGCCCUGCUUUGCAGGUAGCACCACAGGUCACCUCCCAAGUAGCUCCUCAGGUGUCACCUCAAGUCAGUCCUCAGGUGCUGACUGUUGUGUCUGCUCCCUCUGUUGCCGUCCCACAGGGCUACACACUGCAGUAUGUUGGCAGUUUUCGUGAUGGUGAAAUGGCUUCAGGUGGUGGUGGUCUGGUGACCUACUCCACUGCACCAAUGGUGGUUCCACAGCCACAAUUAGUUGUGGCUCCUCAGCAGAACUCUAUGGUUGUUCCACAAGUUGUUAACACCAACAUAACCUACUCUUUCACUGCUCCAGAAACACUGGUUAUAAAUCAGCCAGCUAUGGUGUCUGGAAUGCAAUCAGUUCAAUAUUUACCUCAACAGCAGCAGCAGCAACACCACCACCAGCAACCGCAGCAACAACAGGCACCAGUGAUGCACCACACAGACCAACAGGUUGGUUCUGUUAUGCAAUACAGUCAGGCCGGUGUUGCAACCCAGCACACACAUGUACCAGUUUCACACAUGCACCAUGGGCAAGUGCACACACCAUGUAUCCAGUUCUCAGACCUGCAAGCUGGCCAGGUGUGCAUGCAGCAGCAUCACCACCAGCCACAAUCAACUAUUGGUACAAGGGAGAUUUCAUUUAGUGGUGGUAGCCCUAAACAUCUUCAUAUGCCACAGUGCAUGGUGAAUUCUCCAAGUAGAGGAAAUCUUGACAUGUCAUCUCUUAACCUACCUACUUCAUCUACUACCAGUACUUGCUCCGUCCCAAUUCACCGUCAACGCCCCCAGGCAUCUGUAGCACCACAAGUAAUUCGACCACCUCCAGUUCAUACAACAACACCAACUGAUAACAGUCUCAUGGAUACACAAGGUCAUUCUCGUCUACCAUUUGCAGACAGGCCAUUAGUUGGCGGAGUGAGAACAGUAGCAACUGUUGCACCAGCAGUCAUCACCACCACUUCUGUGGUCUCAGUCUCUACAUGCAGUCCAGUCACUAAACUGACUUCAAUUGAAACUAGCCCAAAAAUAGCCACUGUAAGACCGAGACCCACUUAUAGUUAUCGUGAUGCAAUGAGAGAGAAGCAACUUGAGAGACAGAAGCAGCGGCAAGAAGUUUUACAGACAGACAAAUCUAAUGUACCUGAAGGACAUCUCGAGUUUAUCAAAGAACAAGAAAGACUGGAUGCCCUUGCCUCCGACUCAGAAACAGAUUCUGAAACUGAAACGUGUCAAGAUGCCGAAGAGAAAGAUGAUAGAAUGGAAACACAGUCAUACAAACUUGUGUUACGCAAAGAUAGUUCGCUUAGUUCAGGAUUUAAUGUUUUGCCAAUAUCAGGACCAGCUGCACCAUUACCUGCUCCAGAGGUUAAAGAGUUAAGAAUAAAGGCCAAAGUUUCAGUGGGUCCAAAGAGAAAAAAAGCCAAAAAUCAUGAUCCAGAUAAAGAUCUCAUAUUUGUCAACAAAGACACUAAUACUGACUUGUAUGUAAAUGAGCAGUUACCUAACUUCUCUGUAAAUCCCAUGCAUACUCCUGCAGAUGAUCCUGCAAUGUUUGAAAGACCCAAGACUUGCAACACUGAGCCAUAUAUUGUAUUUGAACUAACAUCAGAAGAUGGUUUCCGUGUAGAAUCUCGCCACAUUUCAGAGGUGUGGCAGAAGGUAUUUGAUGCUGUUGCUUCAGCAAGGGCAAGCAUGCGAGUUGAUUCCAAAAUGCCAAGUAACUUGCAAACCUCUGGAGGUGCAAUGUCUGGUCUUCACAUGCUGGGCUUAACGCACAAUGCUGUGCAGUAUCUUCUGGAACAACUACCCGGGGCGAAGGACUGCCACAAGUACUCAUUCCAGUUCCAUCGAAGACCACAAGAAGAAGGCGCUGUGGAGGAAAACCCUACUGGCUGUGCUCGUACAGAAUCCUUCAAAGCACGCUCUCCUUAUGAUAUCUUUAGCUGGCUGGCUUCAAAACACAGACGUAUGCCUGAGCGUGCCCUAGUACAACAAGAAGAGAUCCAGCUCUCUACUACAAGGCGUGCAACAAGCCUAGAGUUACCAAUGGCAAUGCGUUACCGACACCUUCGAGAGACAGCUCGAGAGGCUGUGGGUGUCUUUCGCUCCAGCAUUCAUGGUCGUGGAUUGUUUUGCAAACGUGAUAUUGAUGCUGGUGAAAUGGUCAUUGAAUAUGCGGGUCAGGUUAUCCGCUCCAGUCUUUGUGACAUGCGUGAGAAGGAUUAUGAAUCUAAAGGUAUUGGCUGUUAUAUGUUCCGCAUCGAUGACGAUACUGUAAUUGAUGCUACAAUGCAUGGCAACGCUGCAAGAUUCAUUAAUCAUUCUUGUGAUCCUAAUUGUUAUUCACGUGUAGUGGAUAUCUUGGGCAAAAAACAUAUUAUCAUAUUUGCCCUACGGAGGAUCCUUCGUGGAGAGGAACUUACUUAUGACUACAAGUUUCCUAUCGAGGACGACAAGAUUCCCUGCACGUGUGGCACACGACGAUGUCGCAAGUACCUCAACUGAAGCCCUCCAGGAAUGCAGCUGUCUACUUCUGUCUUGUAAUCUCCAUAAUCAUUGCUACCAGUUUCUUGAUGCAACAUGCUAAAAACUAAUUGUAUCAAAGAUGAAGUAACUGAGGAUGUACUCUAUAUGCUGAUGUGAUGUGUUCCUCAACUGAAACUGCUUAGGAUAAGUUUGUCUACUGAAACCCUCCUGGAGGUGCCCCCCCAGAGUCCUUGAAGUUCCUCAGCAAAUCCCUGGUGAAGGUUCCUCGAAUACCCUCCAGCGCCACGAUCAGUACUGCGGGUCAGCUGGAGACGGCAGCAACCCAAACACAUGCAUUAAGGUUUCCAGUUGCACUUGUUACAAUAAUCAUAAACUCCUUUUUGAUAUAAUCUGAUGUUGCCAUUAAUUUGUUUUAUAAUUUGCAAGUUACUUAAUAACUGGUGAUGUAGAAUAUUGCAAGGGACGAGCUGUGCUGGGUAUAACCGUAAAUAAUGUUUGUUGUGUUUAAUGAGUUUUUCUAAACUUUGAAACUAGCCUGACAUACCUCAUAUGAUCCCUUAUGUAUAGUAUGUAGAAAUCUCAGCCUACUGGGGAUGUGUUUUUGUGUCUGAUAGGAGCCAAUAAUGGAUGUUUGUUAAAUUUGGCAAUGCCUUCUUGAGUAAACAAAUUUUGUGCUGGUAAAAAAUAUAAAAUUUUGUUCUUUACCGAGCAUGGUUCAGAGAAUGCCUGUUUACCAAGAAUGGUAUUGUAUAAUUUGGUAUAGUACAGGUAAUUAUUAUGGGAAAACUAGAGACCUCGGAGUGCAUUUGGCAUAAGCGUGCACCGAUUCCUAUAAUUUUAAGUAGAUGUGUAAUAUCACCUCUUGCAUUUUACUUUUGUGAUUCUUGACAAUUUUGUGAUAAGUUCAGUGAUUUUGAUCCACUUUUCAAAAUAACAAAUACUUUCCAGACAGAAAAUGGGUAACAUUGUCCUCUUGAAACCGAACCCUCGAGAUAUACAAGAGGUCACUAAGAUGUAGCCUAACUUGGAGGAAGUAACACUAAUGCCAUGGGAAACUUCAACACCCAAGCAGAGUACUGUUUAAGUGCUAUACUUCGGGGGUUUGAUUACAUAAUUGGAAAUCUGGCACACAAUCACUGUGCUGAUCACAUGCUUUGUAAUAUAACAAGAAGCAGUACAUUCACUAGAUUCAUCAUAAUUCAACUAAAAUAUAAAAAUAAAUCUAACAUUCUGUUAAGAAAGCAGUUUCAUGGUCAGGGUAACAUUAAUGUUCAUGUUAUAAAGACAGUUGUGGGUUUGUAAACAUAUCACCAAUUCUUCUUGUGGAUCUGAAGAUGAUGAAAGAUGUGAUAUAUUAUGUUAAUCGAUUCUCCGAUAAAUACUACAAGGAUUGUAGCAUUUGUAGGCGAUGUCCUGGUGGAUAUAGAUAUACAGAUUGAUCUACUGAAUGUACAGGUUGUACUCUGUAUUGUUGACAGUUGUUUGCUCUAGUGCGAUUCUUUGUGAGGACUACUUACCUUACAAUUUGAGAAUUCCUAUUUUAGAUUGUGGGAAAUGUGUGUCUCAUAGUUACAUUAUAUGUACACAAUCAUGAAUUAUCAAAAGUAUUAUGGUUAUUAAAUAUAAGAACAAGUCCAGUUCUAUGGUGAGAACAAGUAUUCCUGGUCUUGCAGGGCAUUGAGGCUCCAGGGAGUGUGAAUCUGUUAAAACAUGAAUAACUAAAAAAGUUUUAUCUAUAUGUAACUGCCAGCAUCUUUUAAUGGAUUUGGAUCAAGUUAAAUAGGAAAGUUUUGACACUACACAGGAAAAUGACCAAAUGGUGCUACUAGGUGGUUGAUUUAUUUUUUCUAUGUUUAGGUGUUUUUGAAAAGCAUUGUCAUUAAACUUACAACAUUAUUUGAGAUUAAAUCAGAUAUUUUGAAAUUGUAGCAAGGAUUAAAGUGGGGAGGGGGGGGGGGGCUUAAUGCGACAGCAGUAGUAUAGUGGCAGCCAUAGUUCCCAAGGCAGUAUUGUGGUCAUGGGUCAUUAUUGUUCACAGUAAAGCUGGUGCCAUUGUUAUUUACUACCAUAGUACCUGUACCACUUCGGUUAUGCCUCAGAAAUAGUUCAUGGGGCAAGGAUUAGUGUCACAAUGAACUUAGUGUGAUGCUCUACUGUAGGAAAGGCUGGCAUGCACUUUAUACUACUUGGCUGCAGUUAGUGACUUUGCCCCUACGUCUGCUGGACACUAAACAGCUACAAGUGAGCAAUAAAAAUUAAUAAAAGAUACCAUCUGUGUGCCUAAAUUUUGUGAUAAGCUGGAUGGUCUUUUUAAAAGAUCAUGUUUUUUCAGGGCUCAAGUAAACUAGUUCAAGGGGGAUGUUAUAGUUUAAAAAUGAUAUUUAAAUAUUUUGGUGUUGGUUUCUUAGUUUCAUAGACCAUAGCAGUGCUAUGUGUUCUUUUGAUAGAAAUUUCACAUUACUCAUUUCACACACACAAGCAACGAUUAAACCAUAGAACCUACUACAACCAAUUAUGGUAACCUUGGUAACCAGGAUGCAAAUAUGGCAGUUUCACAACAAAACUGGAUUCAUCUCUUUGUAAAUGUUAUUUACUUGUACAUAUGUAUUUUGGCUUCACCUUUUCCAAAUGUGAAUGGAAUGCUUUUUGAAAGUGUUUUUAAUGUAAAGAGAAUAGAGUUUUUAUUUCAUAGAUGAAUUUUAUAUGAAGUGUGCUAAAUUUUUGGAACCACCAACUGUAAUUUGUGCCAUCAAAAAUGAGUACAAAGUUAGCAUUUAGCUGUUCUUGUGACGGGUACGAAUAAAAAAAAAUAUUCCUGAUUUGUACUCAAGAGUACUAAAGCUCAAGUUGCAGAACCUACCGUGAUAAUGCCCUUGUUAAAACAAGACCUCAUAUUUCUGUUUUCAGUCCAGUGACUGCCCAAGUAUUAUUCAGUAGAGCACUAAUUAGGGCAUGCUCAAGGUAAGGCCUGGAACUUGGACAUAAGGCACUAGUCACCCACAUGGCGUUUAGUGGCAUGUUUGGAUGGCAUGGGUCUAAAAACUGUUCAGAGCAAAGUACAGUAUUUAAUUUUAAAAUAACCCAAUGCCUAACUCUAAUGUUAUUUAAAAAAAAAAAAAAACUGAUGGUAUUUUGAAGUUUUCAUAAAAUUUCAGCAAGAAUGUGUAUCACAUUCUUAUGAACACAUCAGUUUUUGUUCCAUAGUGCUUCAGUUGUGUGGCAUAUAUUGAACAAACUCCUGUGUAUGUUUUAGGUUUCUUUUAAUUGAGUUGAUGGAAAAUGCAAGUUUUGGUAAAUAAACAAAAUACUAUUAGAGGUUGUUAUACGAUGGGUAUUUUAUCAAAGCAAUUAUAAAAUAGAUUGAUUUCAGUGUGUAACGUUUGUGUACGACUACUGUAUAUCAUUUUUUUAACUAGAUAAUGAAAAAAUCAUUCUUGGUAAAUGAAAAUAUUAUGAUAUUAAGGUUAUAUGAUGGAUAUUUCAUCAAAGCAAUUUUAAUAGUGUAUUCUUUGCUUUAAACAGCUUUCAGUUUGAUGCCAUGAAAUGCAUGCCAACUUGUUUGACACUUGUCCGAUCCAGUUUGGUUUAUAAACCGUUCAAGGCACAACAUUAAUGACCUUUCCAUGUGUAAUAUUGCUAUUAAAUUGUUUGAAAUAUGUAAGAGUUUAACAAAAAUUAUGUUUAACAAAGCUUAAGAUUCUUUGUUCAUUAGAUUUUAAGAUGAGCAAUGUCUAACAAAAAUGUUAUUUUUCAUUAAAUAAAAAAAAACUGCAAUGGAAUUGUCAUUGAUGCUAAAUUAACCAACAAAUUACAAACCUGAGUGUUGUUAUCAAUGUUAAUAAUUCCUACAGUUCAAUAAAGCACAUGUGGUUGUUACAGCAAAUGAUGGGUAUCAUUCCAAUGUUCUGUAAGUGUUGCUUUUACUUAGAAUAUAAGUUACACCCUUUUCAUUCCUUACCAAAGAUAUAUUUUUUUUUUAAAUCAUGUUUAUAAAUACCAGGCACUUAGAAUUUACAAAGUAGUGUUAUAAUCUGAGUUUUAUCCCUGUACACUUUGUUUCUCCGCUGAUUACUAAUGCACUUUUGUACCACAUUUGCACUACAGCUGUUCCACAAGUGUAGUCUACCAUACCUGUAGCCUACCAACCACUCCUGUACAAUAUUUGUAACACAUGCUAUCACAGCUCAUAUUUGGAAUCCCUCACAGUCUCAGUUUUGUGGGUAAGUAGAAAGUUAUAUUUACUGUUUCCUGCAUAAGUGCGAGUUUGUAAAAUGUGAGAACUCGUCCAUAUGUUCGCUGAUGGUUUGUAUCAUUUUCAACUGAUCCAUUCAGUUAGCUUUGGGCAGAGCAAGUGUUACUGGGUCACUAAAUAAAAUUUUCUUACUGCG